GACCGCGUGGAUCCUUGGUUAGGUCACCGAGUUCUCGUGAAAUGUCGAUGAUGUAUUCUCGGAGGUGGUGGUUCGAUUCCACCCGCGGUCU